AUUGAACGCUGGCGGCAUGCUUUACACAUGCAAGUCGAACGGUAACAGGCCUUCGGGUGCUGACGAGUGGCGCACGGGUGCGUAAUGCAUCGGAACGUGCCCAGAGGUGGGGGAUAACGCAGCGAAAGCUGUGCUAAUACCGCAUGUGAUCUGAGGAUGAAAGCGGGGGACCAGGCAGCAAUGUUUGGCCUCGCGCCUUUGGAGCGGCCGAUGUCAGAUUAGGGAGUUGGUGGGGGAAAGGCCUACCAAGCCGACGAUCUGUAGCUGGUCUGAGAGGACGACCAGCCACAAUGGGACUGCGACACGGCCCAGACUCCGACGGGAGGCAGCAGUGGGGAAUUUUGGACAAUGGGCGCAAGCCUGAUCCAGCAAUGCCGCGUGCGGGAAGAAGGCCUUCGGUUUGUAAAACGCUUUUGUACGGAACGAAAAGGCUCUGGCUAAUACCUGGGGCUGAUGACGGUACCGUAAGAAUAAGCACCGGCUAACUACGUG
rnacentral:rRNA from 1 species